UCCGUGCCCCUUACGGGGUAUGUGUGUUGGUGUGGCGUCUGCCAUCUUUUGUGUAGAUGCUUUGUCCAUAUAGGGGCCUUUACUGGUUCUUGUUGGCUUAGGUUAUCAUCUACAUCUUUUACUUUGAAAAAAUUAGAGUGUUUAAAGCAGGCUUUUAGCCCUUGAAUACAUUAGCAUGGAAUAAUAAUAUAGGACUUCGGUUCUAUUUUGUUGGUUUCUAGUACUGAAGUAAUGAUUGAUAGGGAUAGUUGGGGGUGCUAGUAUUCAGCGGCCAGAGGUGAAAUUCUUGGAUUCGCUGAAGACUAACUUAUGCGAAAGCAUU
rnacentral:rRNA from 1 species